AGUGAACGCUGGCGGUAGGCCUAACACAUGCAAGUCGAACGGCAGCACAGUAAGAGCUUGCUCUUACGGGUGGCGAGUGGCGGACGGGUGAGGAAUACAUCGGAAUCUACUUUUUCGUGGGGGAUAACGUAGGGAAACUUACGCUAAUACCGCAUACGACCUACGGGUGAAAGCAGGGGAUCUUCGGACCUUGCGCGAUUGAAUGAGCCGAUGUCGGAUUAGCUAGUUGGCGGGGUAAAGGCCCACCAAGGCGACGAUCCGUAGCUGGUCUGAGAGGAUGAUCAGCCACAAUGGAACUGCGACACGGUCCAGACUCCUACGGGAGGCAGCAGUGGGGAAUAUUGGACAAUGGGCGCAAGCCUGAUCCAGCCAUACCGCGUGGGUGAAGAAGGCCUUCGGGUUGUAAAGCCCUUUUGUUGGGAAAGAAAAGCAGCAGGUUAAUACCCCGCUGUUCCGACGGUACCCAAAGAAUAAGCACCGGCUAACUUCGUG
rnacentral:rRNA from 1 species